ensembl:lncRNA novel transcript
AACCAAAGAGCUGGGCCAUCCGUGGCAAUGCCUCCCAGGCUUGGGAGCUGGGAAAAGGCCCCAGGAGCUAGGGCAUCCUGAUUGUUCUUUCAAAGAAAUCCCUCUUGUUCUUAGUCAACAUGCUGGAUACCAGCUAAAAAAUGCAAAAUGAUCUUCAGGCAGGGAUGGCACAGGACCCUUGCUGAGCUGUGAAGCCUGGCUGUGAGGAUUCCUGCAUGGAAACAUCAACAUGUUGCCAGAUUGGUAUACGACUCAACACCACACUGUUUGAUUGGAGUUGAGCUGAUCUUGUCUGAACCUAGCUGGGCCUGGUCCGGGGCGGCAAAUUAGAUUCAGACAUGCUGCUCCCAAACAGUGCCUUUGAAUCAAGACCCAGUCAUCGUAUUCGAAGAAAAAGGAAAUAUCCCUGACCAUGUUGGGACUUAACACUGCUUCACAGAGGCCACACAGCAAAUUAAUCCAUAAGAAGAUUUAAGAGGAGACUUCAGGACAGCAGUUUCCCUCCUGUAUUUGCAAUCAAAACAUUUAAGACACCCAGAGCAACUCAGAGGGAUUGAAUUACUGGAACACUCUAUGGCGAAGACAUUUAACAACCUGACAACUUGGUUUUAAAACAUCUUAUGUGUGAUAACCACAAAUGGCUCUGAAUUAGCCCCCAAAAGGGGAAAAGAUUCCUAAGUCUCUCUACUCUGAGCUAAUAGGAUAGCAUAGGAAAACAAAUCUUUAUUAUGAGUUUUUGAAUUUGUCACCAUUGGAGUUUCAGAAUAACAUGUCUGUUGGGAUAUUCAAUCUCCCAUUCUUCUUUCCAGUGGAUUAAAAAUGACAGUACUAAUUAAAGAAGUAAAGAAAAGAGA